rnacentral:rRNA from 1 species
CAAGUUGAUCCUGCCAGUAGUCAUAUGCUUGUCAGAAAGAUUAAGCCAUGCAUGUGUAAGUAUGAAUUAAUUCAGACUGUGAAACUACAAAUGGCUAAUUAAAUCAGUUAUAGUUUAUUUUAUGGUACCUGCUACUCGGAUACCCAUAGUAAUUCUAGAGCUAAUAUGUGUAACAAACCUUAACUUUUAGAAGGGAUGCAUUUAUUAGAUAAAAGGUCAACAUGGGCUUUAUCUAUUGCUGCGAUGAUUCAUGAUAACUCAACGGAUCGCACGACCCUCGUGUCGGCGACGCAUCAUUCAAAUUUUUGCCCUAUCAACUUUCGAUAGUUGGAUAGUGGCCUACUAUGGUGGUGAUGGGUGAUAGAGAAUUAGGGUUUGAUUCUAGAGAGCGAGCCUAAGAAACAACUACCACUUCCAAGGAAAACAACAGGCGUGCAAAUUACCCAAUCCUGACACGGGGAGGUAGUGACAAUAAAUAACAAUACCGGGCUUUGAGAGUCUGGUAAUUGAAAUGAGUACAAUCUAAAUCCCUUAACGAGGAUCCAGUGGAGGGCAAGUCUAGUGCCAGCAGCCGCGGUAAUUCCAGCUCCAAUAGCGUAUAUU